UAUAUACUCCCUCCGUCCGAAAAAGCUUGUCCCAAGCUUAUCCCUCAAAUGGAUGUAUCUAGCACUAACUUGGUGCUAGAUACAUCCAUUUGAGGGACAAGCUUUUUUUCGGACGGAGGGAGAGUAUAUA
rfam:Triticum aestivum genome assembly, contig: Triticum_aestivum_CS42_TGACv1_scaffold_543873_6DS